rnacentral:rRNA from 1 species
UGGGGAAUAUUGCGCAAUGGACGAAAGUCUGACGCAGCAAUGCCGCGUGAGUGAGGAAGGCCUUCGGGUUGUAAAGCUCUGUCAAUGUGGAAAAACAGCUUUUGGUCCAAUAGGCCUUAAGUUUGAUGGUACACAUAAAGGAAGCACCGGCUAACUUCGUGCCAGCAGCCGCGGUAAUACGAAGGGUGCAAGCGUUGUUCGGAUUUAUUGGGCGUAAAGCGCGCGCAGGCGGAUAUGUAAGUCAGAUGUGAAAUCUCGGGGCUCAACCCCGAAACUGCGUCUGAAACUACUUAUCUAGAAUCUCGGAGAGGGAAGUGGAAUUUCGCAUGUAGGGGUAAAAUCCGUAGAGAUGCGAAGGAACACCAGUGGCGAAGGCGACUUCCUGGACGAGUAUUGACGCUGAGGCGCGAAAGCGUGGGGAGCAAACAGG